rnacentral:lncRNA from 1 species
AUUCCAGGAGAAGGAAAGGCCCAAGAAUCAUUUUACUUUUUCCGUCAUAGUUUUCUGAAGCUACUUUUAAAAAAUACAUAUAUGUGCUCAGUACUUUUGAACUAACUUCUUUUUUCCCUUGGUUCAUAACAGUUUAAAUUCCAAACUUUUGACUUUUUUUUUUUUGUAAUUUUAAGAUAAAUGCUUUUGACAUGAAUUUUUGCUUACGUUUAUGUUUGUAAGUUGAGACCAAAUGGGCAACGUCUUAGGCAGGCAACAUUUGUGAUAUGUAUAUAUUGGAACAAACGUAAAAGGGCCACAGAGAUUAGAGAGUCAUAGAAAAUGGCUUGAUUAUAAUAAAUGCAUUGCUCUGGUGCUCUAUAUAAUGGGAUAUAUUGAACUAAAUUUGUAUAUACAGUAUGUCAGCAUUUCUUAGUAACUUCUCUUGAAUCCAUUUUUAAUAUCUAAUAUUAUACAGGUUGGGGAGUUAUAUACUCUUCAGGCCAAUACUAUCCAGACAGUGAUUUACUGGUCCCUACUGAUUUCCAAAUUGGAUCACUGUAGUGAAUUAUCUAUGCUGGUACCUGUGAAAGUAAGCCCUGGGAUCCAUAUUUGUUUUGUGUUCUGCUUAAAUCAGCAAGAAUGAUAAAUUUGAUGGUGUGAAAUUGGAAGUGUCAAGGGCUUUCUCUGGUGAUUGAGCAAAAUAAUGUCUCCACUUGUAAUUUAUUGUGACCCUUUUCCACUGUAUGUGCUUUGUGUAUCUCAUAUUUAUUUCAAUACAAAUUAAAUUGUUAUUCUUCAUCUGUAUUGUUAUAUCUAAGAUUUUAUUGAUGUAAAAAU